rnacentral:lncRNA from 13 species
UAACAGUUGAUUGAGGAUUAUGAUGACCUCACCUAAUCCUCAUAAUGGCUCAGUGAGAUAAGCAUCCUCCUUAGCACCAGUGUGGUAGAGAGGAGAGGAUGGGUACAUGGCCUUUGGCACUGUGCCUCUCCCGUGAGAAGUGGUCAGCAAAUCAUGGCAAUUAUUUUCUUGCCGAUAUUUACAUAAAGUCAACAAGAAAUUAACAUGUAAAUGGUGUCUCAAGGAGACUGACCAGCAUAUUCCCUCCAGUGGUGAAGUGAAACUACAGCAUAAAUGUGAAAUAUCAACUUCACCCAUAGGUAUAUUCACUGCACUGGGGUUCGUAAACCUGGAUGAGCUUCCAAAUUGGCCCUGGAACUUUUAAAAUCGACAAAUUCUUGGAGUGGGCUUUAGAAUCUAUGUAAUGAAGAAAGAUCUGAAGUGAUUCUGAUGAUCAACCUGGUUUGGGACCCACUGUAUUAAGGAAGUUUUUGAAAAAGAAAACUCUUGGGAAUGAAGCAAGUGAUUGAUCGGAACACAUACUGAAUGGAAGAAAUAUUUAGAUUAAAAAUGAGAUUCAUUGUGAUAUGGACAAGAGCCAGGGAAAUACUGGGUAGAAGAGGGUGCUUCCCCGGAAAAGGACUCUUCCUCAAGCCUGGAGACCUGCAGCCCUAAAUGAGGACAAGCAUUCCUGUUUACAUGUCCCAAAGUUGCCUUUUGGCCUGACACAUCCUCUCAUUCUGUACCAAUGUAAACCCAAAACCCUUCGCUCCAGGCAGACACAAA